UACAGAGGUCUCAAGCGUUGUUCGGAUUCAUUGGGCGUAAAGGGUGCGUAGGUGGCGCGGUAAGUCGGGUGUGAAAUUUCGGAGCUUAACUCCGAAACUGCAUUCGAUACUGCCGUGCUUGAGGACUGGAGAGGAGACUGGAAUUUACGGUGUAGCAGUGAAAUGCGUAGAGAUCGUAAGGAAGACCAGUGGCGAAGGCGGGUCUCUGGGCCGUACCUGACGCUGAGGAGCGAAAGCAUGGGGAGCAAACAGG
rnacentral:rRNA from 1 species